CUCCUACGGGAGGCAGCAGUGAGGAAUAUUGGUCAAUGGACGCAAGUCUGAACCAGCCAUGCCGCGUGAAGGAUGAAGGCGUUCUGCGUUGUAAACUUCUUUUAUCUGGGAAGAAACCUCAGUUUUCUAAUUGAGCCGACGGUACCAGAGGAAUAAGCACCGGCUAACUCCGUGCCAGCAGCCGCGGUAAUACGGAGGGUGCAAGCGUUAUCCGGAUUCACUGGGUUUAAAGGGUGUGUAGGCGGGUACUUAAGUCAGUGGUGAAAUCUCCGGGCUCAACCCGGAAACUGCCAUUGAUACUAUUUAUCUUGAAUCUUGUUGAGGUAGGCGGAAUAUAUCAUGUAGCGGUGAAAUGCUUAGAUAUGAUAUAGAACACCGAUUGCGAAGGCAGCUCGCUACACUAUUAUUGACACUGAGGCACGAAAGCGUGGGGAUCAAACAGGAUUAGAUACCCUGGUAGUCCACGCCCUAAACGAUGGAUACUCGACAUACGCGAUACACAGUGUGUGUCUGAGCGAAAGCAUUA
rnacentral:rRNA from 1 species